rnacentral:rRNA from 1 species
GAUAGAUACCCUAGUAUUUAUAUCUGUUAGAUUAGUAUUAAUUGAAAUUUAAAGAUUUUGGCGGUUAAUUAUAAAUUAGAGGAGCUUGUUUUUAUAGAAUUAACUCUUUGUAUCUUAUAAUUAUUUUGUUUAUUUAUCUCCGUUAUUAGAAGUAAGAGUUUGAGAAAAAUGAUUUUUUUAUUUCAGGUCAAGAUGUAGCAAUUAAUUUAUAUAAUUAGCUACAAUUAUAAAGUAGAUGAAUUUAUUUAGGAAAUUUGUAAUGAAAUUGAAUUUAAUUGUAAUAUUAUUUAGAAUGAUAUUAUGAAUUAGUGUAAUUAAUGUACAUAUUGCCCGUCACUUCUGUUGGUAAAAUAGAAUAAGUCGUAACAAAGUA